AAAUUACUGAGGAGCCCCACAAUAGGACGAAACGGCCGUCCAGUGU
rnacentral:hammerhead_ribozyme from 1 species